CCUCGGAUUUGCGGAAGUGCUAGCUCGCGCAGUCAGUUUCUAACGGCGGAUUUGAUUUGAUCUUCUUCUUCGAUCACCUCAGACCUUUUUGAUAUCGAAGAUGGAUCAGAGGAGAAUGCUGGAUGGUGGAGGAAAGGUAGAUGAAGACUCUCUUCUCUUUAGUUUUUUUUACCCAGAAAUUCUAGAACAAUUCUAGGUCUCUUAUCCUAGAGGAGAUCGAUCUCUUUCUUUGUUUAUGCCAAAGAAGAUAGAAGCCCAUCCAAAUCUUAUGCCCCAAGAAGGGUAUUCGGCCCCUCUUUCCCUCAGCAAUCUCAUGAUGAAAACCUC
rnacentral:lncRNA from 1 species